GUACUCCUUUUCACUUUGCCCAUUGGACUUAUGUCUUUACUAGUCAUUCCAAUGGGGCAAAGGCAAUAUCCUUUUAAAACCCAAGCAAACUGGGUGUUUGACUUGUAUCCUGUCAGAGGUAACAAAU
ensembl:snoRNA small nucleolar RNA SNORA27